rnacentral:rRNA from 1 species
UACAUGGGGUGCAAACGUUGCUCGGAAUUAUUGGGCGUAAAGCGCGCGUAGGCGGUUACUCAAGUCGGAUGUGAAAGCCCUCGGCUUAACUGAGGAAGUGCACCCGAAACUGAGUAGCUAGAGUACUAAAGAGGGUCGCGGAAUUCCCGGUGUAGAGGUGAAAUUCGUAGAUAUCGGGAGGAACACCGGUGGCGAAGGCGGCGACCUGGGUAGAUACUGACGCUGAGGCGCGAAAGCGUGGGGAGCAAACGGG